GGUAUAGCUCAGAUGGUAGAGCUCUCGCUUAGCAUUCAAGAGGUACUUGGUUCAAUAUCCAGCUAGUCCA